rnacentral:rRNA from 1 species
CCUACGGGUGGCAGCAGUAGGGAAUAUUGCUCAAUGGGGGAAACCCUGAAGCAGCAACGCCGCGUGGAGGAUGAAGGUUUUCGGAUUGUAAACUCCUUUUGUUAGAGAAGAUAAUGACGGUAUCUAACGAAUAAGCACCGGCUAACUCCGUGCCAGCAGCCGCGGUAAUACGGAGGGUGCAAGCGUUACUCGGAAUCACUGGGCGUAAAGAGCGCGUAGGCGGGAUAGCAAGUCAGAUGUGAAAUCCUAGGGCUUAACCAUAGAACUGCAUUUGAAACUGUUAUUCUAGAGUAUGGGAGAGGUAGGUGGAAUGGUUGGUGUAGGGGUAAAAUCCGUAGAGAUCAAGAAGAAUACUCAUUGCGAAGGCGACCUGCUAGAACAUAACUGACGCUGAUGCGCGAAAGCGUGGGGAGCAAACAGGAUUAGAUACCCCUGUAGUC